CACGUAGUUAGCCGGUGCUUCUUCUGCAGGUACCGUCAAGGUAACCCUUCGUCCCUGCUGAAAGCGGUUUACAACCCGAAGGCCGUCAUCCCGCACGCGGCGUUGCUGCGUCAGGCUUUCGCCCAUUGCGCAAUAUUCCCCACUGCUGCCUCCCGUAGGAGUCUGGGCCGUAUCUCAGUCCCAGUGUGGCCGGUCGCCCUCUCAGGCCGGCUACCCGUCGACGCCUUGGUGAGCCAUUACCUCACCAACAAGCUGAUAGGCCGCGAGCCCAUCCUUGACCGUAAAAGCUUUCCACCCCACAGAUGCCUACAGGGGUCAUAUCCGGUAUUAGCAGCUGUUUCCAACUGUUAUCCCAGAGUCAAGGGUAGGUUGCUCACGUGUUACUCACCCGUUCGCCACUGAUCCAGGAAGCAAGCUCCCCUUCACCGUUCGACUUGCAUGUGUUAAGCACGCCGCCAGCGUUCGUCCUGAGCCAGGAGUCAAACUACU
rnacentral:rRNA from 1 species